GCCGCGGCGCCGGCUCACACUGGUCUUAAAGCAGGGCAAGGCAUUGGCAACCUACUUCUCCUUCUGUUCCAGCCAGCUCAGAUCCUUGUUCCCAGGUUCUCUGGGAUCUUCACAGACACCUCAGCCGGCUCCCCCUUCUUUGAUGGCGACCUCUUGAUUUCGGUUACAGCCCGAGGGCCGUCGGAGCCCCAGCCCCGACCCCGGACAGGGCGGCGAGCGAGGGGCAGCGGCGGACGCCGGCGGGAAGGGCGGGCCCGCGGCCGUGCGCCAGGUGAGGGCGCGGGUUCGGCUGGGCCGAGAGCUUUCCCGCGUCUGCGCGGCGCCGGCUCCUCAGGCCUGGCGAGUCCCGGUGUCCGCGGCCGGAGCGGCGCCGUCGGCCCUGACCCCGUCCCGGAGCGGGAGCCGGGAAGGGAGAGUGAGGACCCGGCGUCCGCGUGGCUUCUCUCGGUCAGCCCCGGCUGGGCAGGGCUCCUGUGGAGACACCGCCCGGCGGCCUCGGCCUCUGAGGAGGGAGCGGCGCGGCCCCUGGUGGCCCGGGGUCCCGGCGGUGCCCGCGGGGCGCGGACGCUGAGGGCGCCUGGUGUGGUCAGGCGGAUCCCGGAGGAAGCACCUUCGUGGCGGUGGGGGGGGGGGGGUCCCACAAGUUGGUCUCCUCCUCCUGUUGGUGGGUGGGAACAAGGUGCCCUGCCAUUGUACUACGGGUCCUACCACAUGCCAGUGUUCUUAUUUUGGUGUGUCCGUGGUAUUUCGGCGGGUUACGGUUGUACUUAGUGGACAAGAGUUGUAAAAAUGGUUCUAGUCACUUGCUCAGCAGCCGUUGCUUGGUCUCUGGGUCUUCCGGCAUCCUCAGCUAAUUAAGUUUUCCCUGAAGGUCAUCCUACUCAGUACAUUUUACUGGGACCCCCCAAAUGGAUGGUUGGGUGCCAGUCACCCAUGGACCUCGGAUUCUGUCUCAGAUCUGCAUCAUUCCCCUAACUGCAUGAGUCGGUUCCGAAUUCACUCUCAUUGUGAGUGUGGCUUUAUAAAAGAGAACAGUCAUCUAAAAAUCUUUAGACCUUUCAUUCAUGUUUCUAUGCUGUCAUUUCAUUCAUGUUUCCAGGAUUGUCAGGAUUCUAUUGAUAGAAUAAGCAACCUGAUUUUUUUAAGGAAGUUCCAAAAUUUUAAGAAUUAAUCAAACUACAUAGUAUCUUUUUACAGACAGUUGCUACAUUGUAAAGACUUUGCCUGACUCCAUAAGCCUGAUUUUUUUCCUUUAAAAUAUGUUUUGAAAUCUUGAAAUAGUUUUAGUCGUGGUACUUUUUGGGCCAAGAAAAUAUGACAGAGGACAGGUGUGGGGAGCAACUCGGACUUGACUGUUACUGGAAUUAAGACUUAUUCUAUACAUCUGCUCUCCCACAAUAUGGCGCUGGGAGAGGAGUAAACUUCUACACAGCUGCCUCUCACCAACUUGACAAGCUGUAGGACCUGCUCCUGAUUGGAGGAGAGCAGCGUACUCGGCGUGUGGGUAGCAGAGUUGGGAUUGGUGGAAGAGGACUAUAAAGGAGGAGAGAGACAACAUGCACCAGGAACAUCUAAGGGGAACAUCUAUCUGAAGGAACACCUGUGCAGCCCCCGAGAGAGCCAGCCGGCGCCGGCGGUGUGCCACUCCCCCGUGGAAGUGGGGAAAGUGGCAGGGGGAACCGCCCUUCCACGGAGGUGGAAGGGUCGGUAGCCAACCCGGGAAGAACCAGCAGCAAACCCGGGGAGGGCCGAGCAGACAAAAGAACAGCACAGGGUCCUGUGUCGUUCCUCCGCGAAGAGGGGGAGCGACAGACAGGGACCAUUGUUCUUCCCCAGUCUUGUUCACAGUGGUUUUCACAUAAUGGUUACUAAAAUGUUGGUGGAAAAAAAAAUCUCCGUUUGUGAUUUUUGGUUUUAAAAGUCAAACAACAGAUCUCUGUCCAGAGUCGUCGUCGUCACAGUCCUCUCAUAGACACGUGAUAAACUGCACCUUAGCUCCGUCAGUCAGCUGACUUCCUGGCUGCAGCUCGGGGAGUUCCUUGGUCUUCGUCUCCCUGCCUCUCAGUAGCAGCUCAGAAGGAACUCCCUGCUACUCCCGAUGUUCAUGAUUCGGCUUCAUCCCGUCUUGCUCUUCUUUUUAGUCCCUUUUGUUUGUUCAAGCCCAGAAGUUGACAUGACCCCAUGGUAGGAUUUGAAAUUUAUUCACCCUGGUAUUCUUUUCCUAGACAACCUUACCCCUGUGUAGUUUCAGGUCGGUCCUGGUUUCCUCCCGUCUUUAGCUAGAGGAAUUACAUAAUGGCUUCUGUUUGUCUGAAAAGAAGGGUCCUCUGAUUCACUUGGGUGUGAAGAGCUUUGCUAGUAUAAUUUAGAAUAAGCCUUGGCUUAGAGGGAAGGAUAUUGUGCUUCAUUGUUUUGAUAGUUGAAGAUACAAAUAAUGGGUAGAAAUAGGACUGAGGCUACUAGGGUUAGGGCACUGCCUAGUUUAUUUGGGAUUGAUCAUAGGAUUGCAUAGGUGGAUCGACUAUUCUGGUUUAAUAUGGGAAAGGGUAUACGGGGGGUUGCUGGGGUAUUAUUGUCAGGGUCUCCCAGCAGGUCAAGAGAAAAUAAGACUAGGGUGAGGAAGAAAAACAAUAAGAGGAGCUAGGAUAUAUUACAUUUUACUGUAAGGGUGACAUGCAAUUUUAUAUGAAUUGGAAGAGAUUGCUGAUGGAUUAUUAGAUCCUGUUUCAUGUAGGGAUAGGAAGUGAAUAAUUCGUAGGGCUGAAGUGAUAAGUGGUAUAAUGAAGUGGAAAGGAAAGAAUUGUAUAAGACUGCUUUUGUCAACUGAAAACCUUCCUCAGAUUAUUCUACCAGACUUGUGCCAGUGUGUGGAAAAGCUAGUGGAGAUUUGUAAUUAUUGUUGUACCUCACUAUGAUUCUUUCCUCAUGGUAGUAGGCAGUGUAUAAAUGCUUAGCUAUAAAUAAGGGAACUCCAGUAUUCCAGGUUUCAAGGUGUAAGUAAAAGCCAUUAUAGAGAUGGUGGGUUAUGGAGCAGCAUGCUUUGCAGGGCUAGGGGUAAGCGGUGAGGAGCAAAGUGUAGGAAGCACAUUCCUGGCUGGGAAUUGGGAGGAAAAGUGCCUGAAAGUCCCGGGGAGGAGGUGAAAUGGCAUGGUCCUGUGUGGGGAGUGCUGACACGUGCAGCCUGUGCAGCUGCAGCUGCAGCAGCAGAGGGCUGGAGCUGGCAACAUUGUAGAGAUGGAGGGGAGGCCAGUUUGCACAGAUCUGUGGGCAUAGAGCAGGAGAGACAGCAUGUCACGGGUCUGGACUGGAGCCAUGGGGGCUGUGGUUGCUGGCAGUCACCUGUGGUCCCAGUGGAAGUGUAGGGGGACAUUUGAUUCAAACCAGUCUCCAAAACAGAACCUGCAGUCUGGCUGAGAGAAAGCGGGUGCUAUUUUGCAAAAGGGCAACAACUAUGGAAGCCUGCAGGCAUGCACAUAACAGUUCACUGAGAUGGGGCGCCUGAACACAGUGUGGGUGGCAGCAGUGGCAGGUGUUGGGCCAGUGGCUCUCGUGUGUGCAUGUGAUCCAGAGCUUCUAGCGGAGGGAACAGCUCUCGGCCCCCACUGCCUCAGAGCUUGGCUGGGAGGUGACUGGGCAGCUACAAGGGACAGAGGGGCACCUGCACCAGCAGUGCCCUCUGGACUUGGCGACUGUGAGAUCCUUGUAUGCUGAGACCUUGGGGACUCGGUGGCUACUUGAGAAGGUGUAGGGAAUAGCUGGCUAUUAAGUUCUACCACAUCCAGAGAGAAUAGUGAGGAGAGAAUGGAGAGACAGUACAAGCCUUAAGAGAAAAAUACUGUUAACCCAGAAUACUGUACCCUGCAAAGCUCUCAUUUAUGAAUGAAGGUGAAAUAAAGACCUUCCAUAACAAAUUGAAAUUGUCA
rnacentral:lncRNA from 1 species